rnacentral:lncRNA from 1 species
UGGCUGAAUGGAAAAAGUUCAGUUUAGGGUUUAAAACCCUAAUGCUGACUAAAGGGAAAAUUUAGUUUAGGGUUUAAAACCUAAUGCUGAUUACAUGGAAAAGCUCAGUUUAGGGUUUAAAACCCUAAUGCUGGCUGAAUGGAAAAAAGUUCAGUUUAGGGUUUAAAACCCUAAUGCUGACUGCAUGGAAAAGCUCAGUUUGGGGUUUAAAACUCUAAUGCUGGCUAAAGGAAAAAUUCAGUUUAGUGUUUGAAACCCUAAUGCUGAUCGCAUGGAAAAAAGUUCAGUUUAGGGUUUAAAACCCUAAUGCUGACUGGAAGGAAAAGCUCAGUUUGGGGUUUAAAACCCUAAUGCUGGCUGAAUGGGAAAAAGUUCAGUUUAGGGUUUAAAACCCUAAUGCUGACUAAAGGAAAAAUUCAGUUUAGGGUUUAAAACCCUAAUGCUGAUCGCAUGGAAAAGCUCAGUUUAGGGUUUAAAACUCUAAUGCUGGCUGAAUGGAAAAGUUCAGUUUAAGGUUUAAAACCCUAAUGCUGACUGCAUGGAAAAGCUCAGUUUAGGGUUUAAAACCCUAAUGCUGGCUGAAUGGAAAAAAAGUUCAGUUUAGGGUUCAAAACCCUAAUGCUGACUAAAGGAAAAAUCAGUUUAGGGUUUAAAACCCUAAUGCUGAUUGCAUGGAAAAAUUCAGUUUAGGGUUUAAAACCCUAAUGCUGAUUAAAAUGGAAAAAGUUUAGGGUUCAAAACCCUAAUGCUGAUGGUUGGGGACAAACUUCGAGAACAACCACUGACUUCUCUUUUUUUUUGAAUUUUCUUACUUUAGUUCAAGAUAUAAAAGGAGUUUCGUGGAAACUUACCUUUCGAGUGAAU